rnacentral:sRNA from 1 species
CGUUCGUCCAAAUGCCCUCCCAGUCCUCAGGAUGCU